UCCGAUGUGGUGUAUCGGUAACAUUACCGCCUCUCAGAGAAAAAUGAAAACAGGAUGACUUAAUCUGGUCGCGGUAGCGCGGGGUUCGAUUCCCCGCAUCGGAA